rnacentral:piRNA from 1 species
UGAAAGGCAAUGCUCACGAGGAGACAAGA